GUGGGGAAUAUUGGGCAAUGGGGGCAACCCUGACCCAGCGACGCCGCGUGGGUGAAGAAAUCCCUCGGGAUGUAAAGCCCUGUUGUAUGGGAAGAGCAGAAGACGGUACCAUACGAGGAAGCCCCGGCAAACUACGUGCCAGCAGCCGCGGUAAUACGUAGGGGGCAAGCGUUGUCCGGAAUUACUGGGCGUAAAGCGCACGCAGGCUGAAUUAUAAGUCGGUAGUCAAAUACGGAGGCUCAACUUCCGGAUAUCUAUCGAUACUGUAAAUCUAGAGUAUGUGAGAGGGAAGCGGCAUUCCCGGUGUAGCGGUGAAAUGCGUAGAUAUCGGGAGGAACACCAGUGGCGAAGGCGGCUUCCUGGCACAAUACUGACGCUCAUGUGCGAAAGCUAGGGCAGCGAACGGGAUUAGAUACCCUGGUAGUCC
rnacentral:rRNA from 1 species